CGGCAACAGCUCAAAUUUGAAAUCUGGCUCCUCCGGGGUCCGAGUUGUAAUUUGCAGAAGAUGCUUCGGGUGUGGCGCCGGUCCAAGUUCCUUGGAACAGGACGUCGCAGAGGGUGAGAAUCCCGUAUGUGGUCGCGCGCCUCCCACCCGUGUGAAGCUCUUUCGAC
rnacentral:rRNA from 1 species